UAUGCUCCCUUUUAAGAGAGGUUUUUUAGUUUUAUGCACAAAGUUUUCCUGAUGUUCUUCCAGGAGAAAGGCUGGAGUUGCAUGCAUUUAUUCUAGUGCCAAACCUGAAUUUUACUAGGAAAGGAGGAAGCAUAAGAGCAGACCUUUUUUGUGCUAGGGAGACGGGGUGCGGUAGAGUGUUUGUUUUCUGGGGCAGCAUGAAACAGAUUUGGUUUAAUUACUCUGUCUAUAAAAUAGAAAAUUCUGUCCACUGCAUGUCAAAAAGCUAAUUAUGUUUCUGUUGUGGCACUCAAAGUCAAUACUGUCAGCUCUUCUUAGUUCUAAUCCUUUACAUUGAAUUUUGAUGGGCCAGGUGAAAUAUUCCCUUCAGCACCUUACUGCAAUUCUUGUCAAUCAUCUUGCCAUGAAAAUAUGCAUAUUGCAAAGACUUUGGCAACGCUGCAUCUGAUUUCAGUCUUUAAUCUCGUAUGUGCCUUAAAAAAACACCAUGCCAACUGCUGGCGUUCUGUUUGGGAUGUGAAUAGGAUUCUGUUUGCUAUGGGAAACAAAAGAAAACGAUCAAAUCUUUAAAGAAUAAAAUGGGACUCCUAGGCUUUCUUAGGCUUAACAUUGUACCACUGGAAAGAAAACAGUUAGGAUGGUGAACUGGGUGCACAAAUUAAUCGAUGCAUCCACAUUCAUCGUGUGGAUGUAAAAUGUCUCCUUUCAAGCACUGCUGGAGUGAGGAAGGUUGUCUUAUUUUCCCUGUAGAUUUUCUUUGCAAGGGGCGCCGUUAAGUAACGUCCAUUUCCAAACACGGUUUGUGAGUUAAUUGUAUGUGCUGCUUUGUUUGCUGUCAUUUCUUACAGACUAGAUCUAGCACACCUAAAAUUUUCCAGUUCUACAAUGGAAAAUUAGCAUCAUCCCUAAGAAUCUGGAAUAGAAACUAGUAAGGCACAUUUCCAGAAUCCAAUUGCAUCAGUCAGAUUGGUGUAGUAUGAAGAGAAAAGCGAAUAUUCCCUGGGGCGAUUGUGUGAAAUGGAGACCAGUCUUGUUUGAACAAGGUGCUUUGCAUUGUUAGCUAGGAAUAGAGGUACUGGGAGCUGCAGCCUGUCGGAACCAGCAUCUCCAAGGAGGGGGUGGGGGGAAUGUUUUUCCAGGCUAAAAUCUCAGCAUUUUGAGAUCGAGUUUAUCUGAUGUAUUAAAGCAUUAAGUCAGGGAAACCCUCAAUGCUCUGCAAAAGAUGAACCAUAAACGUCCUCACUGUUUUUGUCCCUCUUCCCCCAUUCUCUUUCACAACAGGGACUGUUGUGGGAUGUUUUCCUAUCCUUCUUACCCUUAUCAUACAGCAAGGUGGGAAUCGGGCUUGUCCUUCCUUGUUUUGGCAGAAAAUAGAAGAACAGCAAGAUUCUUCUCAAACCUUUCGCAAGGGGACUUCUUUUUCCCAAGGCUGCGUUAGGAGCUUGAGCUGGAUAGAUGGUAACAAAUCUAAAAAGGACAAUGGAUACCUGCUCAACCUAUGUCUCUUAAAAUAUUGCAUAGCUCUAGAGACGUAAGAAAAUACCUAGCUAACAUUUUCUAAGAUAACAAGGGGAAGAAGACAAUAGAAAAAAAUACAGCUUUUAGGAUUUAAACUUGGAGGGGGGAAAAAGAAGCAGGAAAAUACAUAAAUGCUUUUCUUUGCAAUGUCCCUGUGAGAUGAGGCUCAAAUUUAUUAUUAAGCUGUGUACAUCUAUUGAAACAGAACCAGAACUGAAUGCAACCAAACACGGUUUUAUUCGCACAGUGUCACAGCAGCAGGCUGUCCAGCACUUUUUAGCUUUAUGCAGGGGUUUGAGCUAUUUUAAAUUGCAGCAUUCCUUGAAGUUUCUAACACAAUUAAUGAUGCACAGAAGCCUUUAUUUAAAUGCUUUUGUUAAAUGGGGACAAAGAUUGAGCUUUGACAUUUUUAUUAAAUCCCGAUAAUCUUUCUUUCUUUGUCUCAGAGGGUGAAGAGGAAGUGCAUUAAUUUUCACAUGAAGGCAAGUUGUACAAACACAGCUGAAAACAUCAGAAAACCCAGGCAUUUUCCUUAGAGAAAUGGAAUCGAUGAAUGUUCUCCUGAAAAGACUGCUAAACAAUUGGGAAGAUGUUGGGACUGGGUUUAUGAAGACAGAAUCUGAAUCACUAAUCUGAAUUACAUGGAUCUCGUUCUCGUUGGAAAUGAAGUCCAACACAUCUAAGUUAUUAGAUCCAUUAACCAAGCUUGGGAGGAGGAGUAUGCAGUUCAAAGGUCAAAUGUAUGAAAGUAAAGCCUGCUUAAUAUACCAAGAGCUCUUUGUAAAUUUGAUUCUAACUUGAGAAGUUAGAGAGCUGUGAAGGGCCCUUCCAAACACUUCCAUUUUGUUUUCUGAGCUACUGCCACAAGGAAAGACUGCCUUCUGUGCUGAUGACAGAUCUGCCCUUCUGUUAUCAGGCACUGCUCUUUUGCUAUCUCAAUUUCAUAACAAUUACCUCUGCCUGAGCGCUAGUGGAUCAGCCACGUUGGGCAAAGCAAUGCUCUGAGAAAGAGAAUGAUGGAUGACAGAGCGAUUCCCUUCAACAUGAAUGGGGCACUGAGGUUGAGUCUGCAGUGACGCAAUUUUACUGGCACAGAACUUGGAAGAUGUUGUACCAGAACAAAACAAAGUGUGUCUGGAAGCAUCUUGUCCUAAAAACCGUUUGCGGGCAGUACAGAUUUCCUUAUGGAGGUUAAUGGGAUAUAUGGACAGGAGACUUCAGCUUAAUCCCCUGGAAUCAGGACAGUUUGAGGUGUUGCCUAGCUCAGCCCUCCGACAGGAAAGGAAAGAAUAACUUGAACAUCUCUCCAGUCAUUUCCUGAUAUUUGCUGUUAGUGAACAGAUGUAAUUCACUCCGAAAGGGAAUGCCAAGUGCUCCUGCGUGUCUGAUCUACUAAGCAAGUAUUAGGUGCUUCAUCAUGCUGCUGUGGAGUACGUUGGUGGUGCAAGAUUCCUGAAAAUUUCAUUUAAAAAUGGCAAACAUCCGGGGAGCUGGCAGCAAAAGGAGCAUCUCCAAUGAGCUUUGAGGAAAGAGAGAGGAAGUUUAUAACUGGAGCUGAAUCUUCCCCACAUUCUAACUGAAAACGUCCUCAUGAUGCCUGAUAAGUGGGAAAUCAUCUACCAGAAAAAUCUCACAGCACUGGGGUAAUUUGGCUGUCUACUCUUUUGAUAUUCAUGUUAUUCAUAUCAAUGUCAUGACUAGAUAAUGCUGUUUGGGACAAGAUGUCUAUCUUGCCUAUAAAAUCCACAUUUAGAAAAUUCCAGACAUGCUAGGAAAUGUGAUUCUUGAGAGCCCCUGUGUGUGAAAUACAUGGCAUUACUUCCCUGCUUCAGAAGUGCUGUGCAGCCACUGAACUCUUAACUUCCCUCAGAAAAGCUCUGCCUUUCUGCCUUAAAUCAAGAGUUGUUCUUGGAAGUACCUACAUGCAUGGAAUACUGUCUGCUAAGGGCAAAUUUCACUUUGUAACUGUGACUUUGUUAUGGCUUUAGCUCUUUGGCCACAGCAUCUCCCAGUGUUGCAUGUAACACAGAGGGGCAGGACUGCCCUUCUGGUAACUGGAUCUUCCCUGAGAGUGGUGGAAAAUAUCAGAUGCUGAGUGGGUUUUUUACAGGUCUAAUGGCAUCACUGAGGCAGUAUUUAGACUGGGAAAUAGGGAGGAGAGACUAUGGGACUGACUUUCCUAAGCAUGAAUACACGGACAUUCAAAACAUUCCCAGAGAGUCACGUUGCACAACUUAAUGGGCCUGGUGCCCUCACCUGUGCCUAUUUUAUGUGACUCUUAACUCUGGCAUUAAAUAGAAACAAGACUUGUGCUAAUGACAUCCACAGCCCGUGGUGAAGAAAAAAGGCUGCUACUUUGAUACAGAUCCCCUUUUAAGGAGGACACAAUAGACAGCCAAGGCUUUUUCCCAUCUGCUAGCUGAAUGUUACAGUUCCUGGCCCAGAAACGUGCCCUCAGCAACACCCCUCUAUUUUCAGUGUUACACUAGAUAAUUUUUAAUAAGAAAAUGGUUAUCUACUGCCCCUGUGUUUGCCACCUUGAC